UGGGGAGUCGUCCAACGGCAGGACAUGCGGCUCUGGACCGCAGAAUCGGGGUUCGAAUCCCUGCUCCCCAGCCA
rnacentral:tRNA from 1 species